UGAUGGCGAGGAUGAUCGAGGGGUUACGUCAGCCGGUGCGGCCGCGGCGCCACGCAGACCCCACGCUUGACGUCAACGCACGCACUGCACGCACCGUCGCGGCGAGGAGAUAGAAGCUGAAGCCGUCA
rnacentral:snoRNA from 1 species